UACAGAGGGUGCGAGCGUUAAUCGGAAUUACUGGGCGUAAAGCGUGCGUAGACGGUUAUUUAAGUCGGAUGUGAAAGCCCCGGGCUCAACCUGGGAAUUGCAUUCGAGACUGAAUAGCUAGGGUGCGGUAGAGGGAAGCGGAAUUUCCGGUGUAGCGGUGAAAUGCGCAGAUAUCAGGAGGAACACCGGUGGCGAAGGCGGGUCUCUGGGCCGAUACUGACGCUGAGGAGCGAAAGCGUGGGGAGCGAACAGG
rnacentral:rRNA from 1 species